rnacentral:rRNA from 1 species
AUUGAACGCUGGCGGCAGGCCUAACACAUGCAAGUCGAGCGGAUGAGUGGAGCUUGCUCCAUGAUUCAGCGGCGGACGGGUGAGUAAUGCCUAGGAAUCUGCCUGGUAGUGGGGGACAACGUUUCGAAAGGAACGCUAAUACCGCAUACGUCCUACGGGAGAAAGUGGGGGAUCUUCGGACCUCACGCUAUCAGAUGAGCCUAGGUCGGAUUAGCUAGUUGGUGAGGUAAAGGCUUACCAAGGCGACGAUCCGUAACUGGUCUGAGAGGAUGAUCAGUCACACUGGAACUGAGACACGGUCCAGACUCCUACGGGAGGCAGCAGUGGGGAAUAUUGGACAAUGGGCGAAAGCCUGAUCCAGCCAUGCCGCGUGUGUGAAGAAGGUCUUCGGACUGUAAAGCACUUUAAGUUGGGAGGAAGGGCAGUAAGUUAAUACCUUGCUGUUUUGACGUUACCGACAGAAUAAGCACCGGCUAACUCUGUGCCAGCAGCCGCCGUAAUAC